UCUGUAAGUUUCCGGUUCCAUCCAAAACCACUCUGCAGGUCAGUUAGAAAGAGGAUGCAUUCAUGGAGCACGUUUAACUGCCCAAGGACGACACCAGGUCACAAGAAAGAAGACUGCCAGGUUACAGACUUCGGGCUGGAAGAAGUCAGCGGAGGUAAGAACGCUACAGCAGCAUCGCACUGGAUUGGACCAUGUGGUUGACAGGCAGGGCUGACCUCUGCAGGCUCCUCGUUUCCCAGUUGCUGAGGCUCAUAAGCACCUGCAUGCAGACGCCACCUGAGACUCAAGAGUUGGUCAGUCCCUAGAGGCAGAGAAGGUACAGCUUCUGCUUAAAUGCAAAUUAAAAGAAAGCAAAACAUCUCCAGUCCUAUGUGCACAACAGCAAGAUUUAGAGGCAAUAGAGAAUGCA